rnacentral:RNase_P_RNA from 1 species
UAAGGUUGAAAACGUGGGGUAAGAGCCCACGCGGGACAGCCGUGUGAGCGGCGCCGUGGAAAACCCUGCCUGGUGCAAGAGCAAGUUUGGUAGCUCGCUAGAGGUCGUCGGCAACGACGAUCCCAGAUAGAUGGCCGUCCGUCGUCAGAUGUGCGUUUCGUGCGUCGGGCGACGACAGAAUCCGGCUUACAGGUCGACCAUGAAU